GGAUUCCCCUAGUAACUGCGAGUGAAGCGGGAAAAGCUCAAAUUUAAAAUCUGGCGGUCUUUGGCUGUCCGAGUUGUANUCUGGAGAAGCGUUUUCCGCGCUGGACCGUGUACAAGUCCCUUGGAAUAGGGCGUCAUANAGGGUGAGAAUCCCGUCUUUGACACGGACUACCAGUGCUUUGUGAUGCGCUCUCAAAGAGUCGAGUUGUUUGGGAAUGCANCUCAAAAUGGGUGGUAAAUUCCAUCUAAAGCUAAAUAUUGGCGAGAGACCGAUAGCGAACAAGUACCGUGAGGGAAAGAUGAAAAGCACUUUGGAAAGAGAGUUAAACAGUACGUGAAAUUGCUAAAAGGGAAACGCUUGAAGUCAGUCGCGUUAUGCAGAACUCAGCCUGGCUUUUGCUUGGUGUAUUUUCUGUAUGACGGGCCAGCAUCAAUUUUGGCCGCUGGAAAAAGGCCUCAGAAAUGUGGCACCUUCGGGUGUGUUAUAGUCUGAGGUCAUAUACAGCGGCUGGGAUUGAGGUCUGCAGCACGCCUUUAUGGCUGGGGUUCGCCCACAUUCGUGCUUAGGAUGCUGGCGUAAUGGCUUUAAACGACCCGUCUUGAAACACGGACCAAGGAGUCUAACAUGCCUGCGAGUGUUUGGGUGGAAAACCCGAGCGCGCAAUGAAAGUGAAAGUUGAGAUCCCUGUCGUGGGGAGCAUCGACGCCCGGACCAGACCUUUUGUGACGGAUCUGCGGUAGAGCAUGUAUGUUGGGACCCGAAAGAUGGUGAACUAUGCCUGAAUAGGGUGAAGCCAGAGGAAACUCUGGUGGAGGCUCGUANCGAUUCUGACGUGCAAAUCGAUCGUCAAAUUUGGGUAUAGGGGCGAAAGACUAAUCGAACCAUCUAGUAGCUGGUUCCU
rnacentral:rRNA from 1 species